GACGUAGGGCGCGAGCGUUGUCCGGAUUUAUUGGGCGUAAAGAGCUCGUAGGCGGCUUGUCGCGUCGACUGUGAAAACCCGCGGCUCAACCGUGUGGUCUGCAGUCGAUACGGGCAGGCUAGAGUUCGGUAGGGGAGACUGGAAUUCCUGGUGUAGCGGUGAAAUGCGCAGAUAUCAGGAGGAACACCGGUGGCGAAGGCGGAUCUCUGGGCCUGUUCUGACGCUGAGGCGCGAAAGCUAGGGGAGCGAACAGG
rnacentral:rRNA from 1 species